ACGGAGCAACGCCGCGUGAGUGAUGAAGGCUUUCGGGUCGUAAAACUCUGUUGUUAGGGAAGAACAAGUGCUAGUUGAAUAAGCUGGCACCUUGACGGUACCUAACCAGAAAGCCACGGCUAACUACGUGCCAGCAGCCGCGGUAAUACGUAGGUGGCAAGCGUUAUCCGGAAUUAUUGGGCGUAAAGCGCGCGCAGGUGGUUUCUUAAGUCUGAUGUGAAAGCCCACGGCUCAACCGUGGAGGGUCAUUGGAAACUGGGAGACUUGAGUGCAGAAGAGGAAAGUGGAAUUCCAUGUGUAGCGGUGAAAUGCGUAGAGAUAUGGAGGAACACCAGUGGCGAAGCGACUUUCUGGUCUGUAACUGACACUGAGGCGCGAAAGCGUGGGGAGCAAACAGGAUUAGAUACCCUGGUAGUCCACGCCGUAAACGAUGAGUGCUAAGUGUUAGAGGGUUUCCGCCCUUUAGUGCUGAAGUUAACGCAUUAAGCACUCCGCCUGGGGAGUACGGCCGCAAGGCUGAAACUCAAGGAAUUGACGGGGGCCCGCACAAGCGGUGGGAGCAUGUGGUUUAAUUCGAAGCAACGCGAAGAACCCUUACCAGUCUUGACAUCCUCUGAAACCCU
rnacentral:rRNA from 1 species